UACGUAGGGGGGCGAGCGUUGUCCGGAGUACUGGGCGUAAAGCGCACGCAGGCGGUCUGCUAAGUUUGGAGUGACAGUUGGUGGCUUAACUGCCAAAGUGCUUCGAAAACUGACAGACUUGAGGGCUUCAGAGGGACACGGAAUUCCGGGUGGAGUGGUGAAAUGCGUAGAGAUCGGAAAGAACACCAACGGCGAAAGCACUCUGCUGGGCCGACACUGACACUGAGAGACGAAAGCUAGGGGAGCGAAUGGG
rnacentral:rRNA from 1 species